GUGCACCACAUUGUCUCUGGGUGUUCAUAUGGCUUCCGGUGCUUCAGGUACAUAGACACUUUCAGGAGUUGAUUUAAGUAUUUCACGUUAUUAAUGUGGAUGUGGAGGAUGUUACAGUUAAAUGUUAAAUAUGAAGUACAAGUGUAGUGCUGUAAAUCAUCCACUUUAUCAAGUCCGAAAGGGUUGUAGAAGUAAUUCAGUACUUCAGCAGCUAGAUAUGUUUGUAAUAGCAUGCUGAAGCCAGGUCAUCCUUAAGGGUACAACUUACCCACAAUGUUCACUGUGUGCUGCCAUUCAUCCCGAAAGAAGAGCAUGUUAUGAGCUUUCAUGGUGAACUUGUAUUCUUACAUUGCCAGGCAUCUCUGAUGCAAUAGAAAACCACAGGAGCUUUACAACAUUUAAAUACCUUUUGACACAUCAAGAGUAGCCUCCAAUUCUAAACUGAUAGAUUUUAUUGUUUAUGUUAUUCACAUUGAUGUAAUAGUCAGCAUAUUAUUUAAUCAUGAUCACAUAUUUUAUAUCUUUUCCAGUAAUAGAUGACAUUGUGAAAGAAGGCUGUCCUGCUCCCAGUGCAGUGCUGAAACGGAAAAGGAAAGAGAGUCCAGUCAGCACACAGUCAUAGAGGAGUAAAACGUAUUCACACCGACCCGAGAGGAUAAAAUCCUAAUGAAAUAAAUGAACACUUGAUUAAUGUA